rnacentral:rRNA from 1 species
GGUUAAGCGACUAAGCGUACACGGUGGAUGCCCUGGCAGUCAGAGGCGAUGAAGGACGUGCUAAUCUGCGAUAAGCGUCGGUAAGGUGAUAUGAACCGUUAUAACCGGCGAUUUCCGAAUGGGGAAACCCAGUGUGAUUCGUCACACUAUCAUUAACUGAAUCCAUAGGUUAAUGAGGCGAACCGGGGGAACUGAAACAUCUAAGUACCCCGAGGAAAAGAAAUCAACCGAGAUUCCCCCAGUAGCGGCGAGCGAACGGGGAGCAGCCCAGAGCCUGAAUCAGUGUGUGUGUUAGUGGAAGCGUCUGGAAAGGCGCGCGAUACAGGGUGACAGCCCCGUACACAAAAAUGCACAUGCUGUGAGCUCGAUGAGUAGGGCGGGACACGUGGUAUCCUGUCUGAAUAUGGGGGGACCAUCCUCCAAGGCUAAAUACUCCUGACUGACCGAUAGUGAACCAGUACCGUGAGGGAAAGGCGAAAAGAACCCCGGCGAGGGGAGUGAAAAAGAACCUGAAACCGUGUACGUACAAGCAGUGGGAGCACGCUUAGGCGUGUGACUGCGUACCUUUUGUAUAAUGGGUCAGCGACUUAUAUUCUGUAGCAAGGUUAACCGAAUAGGGGAGCCGAAGGGAAACCGAGUCUUAACUGGGCGUUAAGUUGCAGGGUAUAGACCCGAAACCCGGUGAUCUAGCCAUGGGCAGGUUGAAGGUUGGGUAACACUAACUGGAGGACCGAACCGACUAAUGUUGAAAAAUUAGCGGAUGACUUGUGGCUGGGGGUGAAAGGCCAAUCAAACCGGGAGAUAGCUGGUUCUCCCCGAAAGCUAUUUAGGUAGCGCCUCGUGAAUUCAUCUCCGGGGGUAGAGCACUGUUUCGGCAAGGGGGUCAUCCCGACUUACCAACCCGAUGCAAACUGCGAAUACCGGAGAAUGUUAUCACGGGAGACACACGGCGGGUGCUAACGUCCGUCGUGAAGAGGGAAACAACCCAGACCGCCAGCUAAGGUCCCAAAGUCAUGGUUAAGUGGGAAACGAUGUGGGAAGGCCCAGACAGCCAGGAUGUUGGCUUAGAAGCAGCCAUCAUUUAAAGAAAGCGUAAUAGCUCACUGGUCGAGUCGGCCUGCGCGGAAGAUGUAACGGGGCUAAACCAUGCACCGAAGCUGCGGCAGCGACGCUGAUGCGUUGUUGGGUAGGGGAGCGUUCUGUAAGCCUGCGAAGGUGUGCUGUGAGGCAUGCUGGAGGUAUCAGAAGUGCGAAUGCUGACAUAAGUAACGAUAAAGCGGGUGAAAAGCCCGCUCGCCGGAAGACCAAGGGUUCCUGUCCAACGUUAAUCGGGGCAGGGUGAGUCGACCCCUAAGGCGAGGCCGAAAGGCGUAGUCGAUGGGAAACAGGUUAAUAUUCCUGUACUUGGUGUUACUGCGAAGGGGGGACGGAGAAGGCUAUGUUGGCCGGGCGACGGUUGUCCCGGUUUAAGCGUGUAGGCUGGUUUUCCAGGCAAAUCCGGAAAAUCAAGGCUGAGGCGUGAUGACGAGGCACUACGGUGCUGAAGCAACAAAUGCCCUGCUUCCAGGAAAAGCCUCUAAGCAUCAGGUAACAUCAAAUCGUACCCCAAACCGACACAGGUGGUCAGGUAGAGAAUACCAAGGCGCUUGAGAGAACUCGGGUGAAGGAACUAGGCAAAAUGGUGCCGUAACUUCGGGAGAAGGCACGCUGAUAUGUAGGUGAAGCGACUUGCUCGUGGAGCUGAAAUCAGUCGAAGAUACCAGCUGGCUGCAACUGUUUAUUAAAAACACAGCACUGUGCAAACACGAAAGUGGACGUAUACGGUGUGACGCCUGCCCGGUGCCGGAAGGUUAAUUGAUGGGGUUAGCGCAAGCGAAGCUCUUGAUCGAAGCCCCGGUAAACGGCGGCCGUAACUAUAACGGUCCUAAGGUAGCGAAAUUCCUUGUCGGGUAAGUUCCGACCUGCACGAAUGGCGUAAUGAUGGCCAGGCUGUCUCCACCCGAGACUCAGUGAAAUUGAACUCGCUGUGAAGAUGCAGUGUACCCGCGGCAAGACGGAAAGACCCCGUGAACCUUUACUAUAGCUUGACACUGAACAUUGAGCCUUGAUGUGUAGGAUAGGUGGGAGGCUUUGAAGUGUGGACGCCAGUCUGCAUGGAGCCGACCUUGAAAUACCACCCUUUAAUGUUUGAUGUUCUAACGUGGACCCGUAAUCCGGGUUGCGGACAGUGUCUGGUGGGUAGUUUGACUGGGGCGGUCUCCUCCUAAAGAGUAACGGAGGAGCACGAAGGUUGGCUAAUCCUGGUCGGACAUCAGGAGGUUAGUGCAAUGGCAUAAGCCAGCUUGACUGCGAGCGUGACGGCGCGAGCAGGUGCGAAAGCAGGUCAUAGUGAUCCGGUGGUUCUGAAUGGAAGGGCCAUCGCUCAACGGAUAAAAGGUACUCCGGGGAUAACAGGCUGAUACCGCCCAAGAGUUCAUAUCGACGGCGGUGUUUGGCACCUCGAUGUCGGCUCAUCACAUCCUGGGGCUGAAGUAGGUCCCAAGGGUAUGGCUGUUCGCCAUUUAAAGUGGUACGCGAGCUGGGUUUAGAACGUCGUGAGACAGUUCGGUCCCUAUCUGCCGUGGGCGCUGGAGAACUGAGGGGGGCUGCUCCUAGUACGAGAGGACCGGAGUGGACGCAUCACUGGUGUUCGGGUUGUCAUGCCAAUGGCACUGCCCGGUAGCUAAAUGCGGAAGAGAUAAGUGCUGAAAGCAUCUAAGCACGAAACUUGCCCCGAGAUGAGUUCUCCCUGACUCCUUGAGAGUCCUGAAGGAACGUUGAAGACGACGACGUUGAUAGGCCGGGUGUGUAAGCGCAGCGAUGCGUUGAGCUAACCGGUACUAAUGAACCGUGAGGCUUAACCUU